AGCAAGUCUGGGACUUUAUACACACACUGCCAGGUUGUGUCGAGGUUGCGGAGGCGUUCCGUGUUCAGGAGAUAGACGGCCAGGCUCUGCUACUGCUCACGGAGGACCACCUGAUGACCAGCAUGAACAUCAAAUUGGGACCAGCUCUCAAGAUCUGUGCCCACAUCAACACACUCAGACACAGAUAGAGAGGGAGGAGGAGAGAUGAGAGAAGGAGGUGAGGUGGGAGGAAGAGAAGAUGGAGACAGAAAAAAGGUUAAGAGGGCUGGGUGUGGAAAAAGAUAGGGAAAAGAGUGAUUGAUUGAUGGGGAAGAGAGAGGGGAUGAGAGAGAGAGAGGUGAGGAACAAAGGACAGCGAAGAUGAGAGAUAAAGAGAAUAAUUCAAGAGAUUAAGAGCUAAGAGUGAAUCAGUGAGAGAGGAGAGGGACCUUUUCUAUUCUAUUGUGUCUGUGUACAUAUUUUACAAUGCCGUCUAUUGGGUGUAACAAACGAUUUCAUUAAGGAUUUGUAACAUACAUUAUCAUGUAUUUGUGUAUUUGGUUAUUAUUUUAAAAUGUGGCAUCACAUGUAAAUUGUAAAAUACUUUUUGAUUUUACACAGUUGAUACACAGACAUUUUCAAAUAACUUUGUGGAAUUUAAUGUCUUAACUAAAUCAAUGAUUAUGUUUUUAUAUAUGAUCUCUUCUGAGAAAAAGUUCGAUCUUAUUUGACUCCUAACCAUGUCAAUUUUGUCAGAUGUCAUAAUGUUUUAUUUUAUUCUGCCUCUUAAAACUCAGUAAUAAAUCAAAUUAAUUUAUGAA